ensembl:misc_RNA
UAGACAGCACUGGAUAUUGAGUUCCUCUAUUUAUCCACAGGACAGCUGCAGCACAGCUGGCAGCAAUCUUUAUCACAUUGCCUCACCCUGACCUGGAUGGAUCACCUCUAGAAAGUUAAGGCCUUGUCUACACUGCCACUUUACAGCGCUGAAACU